rnacentral:tRNA from 1 species
CGGUGUAGCUCAGUGGUAGAGCAGCUGUUUCGUAAACAGCAGGUCGCGGGUUCGAUUCCCAUCACCG